GCCAGCAGCACUAGAGAGUUCCCUUCUGGAUCUGAGUUUGACUGUUACAUUCAGCAUCCAAAGAGAGAGGAGGACAUACUGUUUGAAUAAGGAAGAUAAAGAAAUGUACUUUUUUGAAAGCCAUCAAAGAAGGAUGUGUACUUCAUCUCUGUGCCUUCCCUACCAGUCUAGCUGGGUAAGAGAUGAGGGUGCCCUGCCCAUGGAGAGAAGCUGCGUAUGCAUAGUGGUCAAGAUCAUGGUCUCUUCUAUCAGACUGACACGCGGAUUCCACUCCCUGUGACCUUAGGCAAGUUACCUAACCUCUUUGUGCCUGUUUCAUCACCUAUAAAAUAGGAGUAACUGUGUUAUUCCCCAAAUUUCUACAAUGAAGGCCUAACUUCUAUGCAAUGGUAUUUGGAGAUAGGGCCUUUGGGAGACACUUAUGUUUUGAUGAGGUCCUAAUGAUUGGAUUAGUGCCCUUGUAAGAAGAGACACCAGAAAG
rnacentral:lncRNA from 1 species